UACGAAGGGGGCUAGCGUUGUUCGGAAUCACUGGGCGUAAAGCGCACGUAGGCGGAUCUUUAAGUCAGGGGUGAAAUCCCGAGGCUCAACCUCGGAACUGCCUUUGAUACUGGGGAUCUUGAGUCCGGGAGAGGUGAGUGGAACUGCGAGUGUAGAGGUGAAAUUCGUAGAUAUUCGCAAGAACACCAGUGGCGAAGGCGGCUCACUGGCCCGGUACUGACGCUGAGGUGCGAAAGCGUGGGGAGCAAACAGGG
rnacentral:rRNA from 1 species